GGUAGGAUGCCCGAGUUGGUCUAAGGGGAUGCACUUAAGAUGCAUUGUGCUUCUGCACGCGCGGGUUCGAACCCCGCUCCUACUA
rnacentral:tRNA from 1 species